UUUUUUGUCUCACCACUCUUAAUGCAUGCAUAUAAAGUCCUAAAAUAACUUCUGGUAGUAUGGGACUCCUGGGGGAAAACAGACGAGGCACCACAAACCCCGUUUUAGGAAAAAACCUGUUUUCCUCAUGAAACCCUGGGAAUUAAAAGGAGAUAGAUCCCUCUCAAAAUCAAAGGCUUUAUUCUGUUUUGCACUGUGUUAUCUGACGGUUUUGAGUUUUGGGGGUUAUCAGAAAUUACUUUGCAUUAUGAGAGCACUUUGGUGUGUAAUAACUAGGUAGAAAAUACACAGUAAGGGAUGGCUAAUAGUAGUUAUAAAACAGAAGCUAACAGCAAUAAGAAUAACAUACUCUUUUACAUUAUUAUAUGUAUAUAAUAAUAACAAUAAUGUCUAACUUAUUGGAAGCCUAUUCUUUAUCAGGAACUAUAUAUGCUUUACAUGUAUUAUUUCAUUGAAUCCUCACUGUAUCCCUGUAAGGGAGGUGUUUUUAGAUGAGUCAAUUGAGGACCAGGGCUGCUAAAUCAAUUGCUCAAGGUCAAACAGCUGGAGUGGAGCUGGGAUUAAAUUUAGGGAGUCUAAGUAGCGUCUGGCUCUAAUAAUUAGGCCUUUAUGUAUCUAUGCUAUUGUCUAUAUAUCUACACUGGAAUCUGUAUGUCUAUCAGCAUCUGCAAGUGUAUUACACAUUCUCUAUCUCUAUAUCUACUUUGUAUAUUAAAUUAAAUGUUUGUUUAAAAAAAAAACAGAGAAGCAUGCUCUUGGCCACCUGAAAAAUAUGGAAACAUCCCCAUCCCCCACUGGGAGAUGAGACUCCCAUCAGGGAUGGGCUGAUUACAAAUAAGCCAAUUGGCUUUGGGUUGCCUUGCAAUGAAAUGCAUGGUAGAAGCACUACACCAUCUUCUCCCGUAGCAUCUAUAUGGUCUUUUCAUGAAUUAAGCAUUAAAAUAAAAGCAUAGCAAGGAGGUCUUAAGACACUAAUCUGCCCUUUAGCAAAAGGGUUACAAAACGUUUGUAAAGAUUUCACCUCAUGGUCAAAUUGGUUAGGAUUAGAUGGGAUUAUCUAUACGGGUUCGUGGAAACGAAUUGGAGUUAACAUUAAUAAACUAAUGCAAGGGUAAAAUUUUGCUUUGAACAAAAUUUUCACGUCAUAGUAAAGGCUGAUGAAACGUUUUUGCCUUUUGAAUUAUUGUUUUUACAAAAUAAUUUAUGGCAAUCUGGAAAUUGUCCUUACUGAUGCCUGGCUUUUUGGAUGGUUCAGAGGGCCCCUAAAACAUUCAGAAAAGAGGUAAACAAGAUCAUUUGACAUGUUUAGUCACACGAGAUUGCCAAAAUGAUGUCCAAUCUUCUUUAUUGUUAUAAAGUUAUAUUGUUAUAAGUUACAUUUUGGUGAAUAAAUACUAAUAUGUUCCAAAAUUGUAUGGGAUUUCUAAAAUUCUAAUGUCUAUGUAUAUGCUAUCAAUCAUAAUUAAGGGUAAAGUUACUGUAAACCAUGAAGAUAAAUAAACUUCUUUCUUAGUCAUAUAUUUAACCAUAACUAUCCUGGAAAUUUCUGAUUCACAGACAAUUGUCUUGCUUUGUUCCUUCUCAAAAGACAGUUUAUAAUCAAGCUAUAUUAAGGACUUUAACAGGUGUUCUCAAAUGCAGGUUUUUAAUAGCUUUAAAGAUUGUAACAUUGAAAUAAAGAAUGUAUGGGACUCAUGAAGAAUUGACAUGUUGACAAAUAUCAAGCAAAACAAAAGUUAACUAAGUGGACUACACUCAGAAAGUUAAAGCAACCUUUUUGACUGUUGCUUGAAUAUUGCUAAUCUUUGUUUUGAUUUUCAGAGUCAAGGAAAGUUAUUUUAAACUAUUUAUGGGCUUUAAUAAUUGAGUAAGGUAUACCCCUGUGAACAAAAUUUGGAGCAUGUUUACUUUGCCUGGUUCCUCUAGAAUUUGGAAACUAUCUGUGAGUACUCUUAACUUAUGGCAAUAUAGUUGUUUGCAUCAGUGCGAUACGAAUCCAUUUUUCUUUGUCAACAGGAUACAACUGGAAAAACUGGUUAUUUUACCAAGGCUUUGACUGAAAGGGUGUGCUUCCCUUUAAGGAAUCAAGCUUGACAUGCAAAGCCAAUAAAAGCCCCUUGGGGAGAACUGGCCUCAUACCUUCUCUGCACAGUCCCUGCACAGUGUUCCUAACCUGUGGUCUGUAAAGAAUGUCACUUACUAACAGGUAUAGAAGCUCUGAGUUUAUCUUGGGACCUCAAGAGGAGAGGAUUACCCAACUCACAGGUAUUACAGGAUACAACCCAUGGCUGGGCUCGGCUUUAAAAGUCUUAUCUGAAAUUCCUUGUGGAACAGAGUUUCAUCAAAGCCAAGCCAAAAGGCCUAUGUAAAAAUAACCAUUCUUGCUGCACUUUAUGCAAAUAAUCAGGCCAAGUA
ensembl:lncRNA